GACAGAGUGGCGAACGGGUGAGUAACACGUGGCGCUAAACCUGCCCAUCAGAAGGGGAUAACACUUGGAAACAGGUGCUAAUACCGUAUAACAAUCGAAACCGCAUGGUUUUGAUUUGAAAGGCGCUUUCGGGUGUCGCUGAUGGAUGGACCCGCGGUGCAUUAGCUAGUUGGUGAGGUAACGGCUCACCAAGGCUACGAUGCAUAGCCGACCUGAGAGGGUGAUCGGCCACAUUGGGACUGAGACACGGCCCAAACUCCUACGGGAGGCAGCAGUAGGGAAUCUUCGGCAAUGGACGAAAGUCUGACCGAGCAACGCCGCGUGAGUGAAGAAGGUUUUCGGAUCGUAAAACUCUGUUGUUAGAGAAGAACAAGGAUGAGAGUAACUGUUCAUCCCUUGACGGUAUCUAACCAGAAAGCCACGGCUAACUACGUGCCAGCAGCCGCGGUAAUACGUAGGUGGCAAGCGUUGUCCGGAUUUAUUGGGCGUAAAGCGAGCGCAGGCGGUUUCUUAAGUCUGAUGUGAAAGCCCCCGGCUCAACCGGGGAGGGUCAUUGGAAACUGGGAGACUUGAGUGCAGAAGAGGAGAGUGGAAUUCCAUGUGUAGCGGUGAAAUGCGUAGAUAUAUGGAGGAACACCA
rnacentral:rRNA from 1 species